CUGUAGCGUGCGUUAUCGACAAGCUAGCGCGUUACGCUCAAGUUGCUGCGAGUCGAGAGACAAGCCAAUUCCGAGACAAGAAGGAUGCCUGCUCACGCGACACCAUGAAUAAUCCACCACUGAUGUAAAGAAAGAUGGCACAGUCCUUGACUUCUUCAGUUCACGCGCAGCUAAGGCACCUUGCAGCCUUGACAGUACUUCAGCCUGCUUGAGUAGUACUACAAUUUGUGGUUGGUGGAUUUGUUGAGAUGUUUGGGCACGUGAGGCAAUGACUGUGCACAGUGAUCUGAUCUGCUCUGGAUAAUCUGAGAAGCAAGAGAAGAAGCUGAACACCUUCCACCAUCGAUGUCCUGGGCAUUUCCAACAGGCAGCAGUGGUUUGAGCACAUCACUAUGGGGAAGUGAGAAGAAGGUAGGAAGAUGAGGAAAAUGCAGCUGAGAAGGUGAAGAAAAGAAGGCUACAGUGGUUGGGACCUAGCACGAAUGCCAAACUAUAGGGUACCGAAAUUGAUCCUAUUUUGCUGGCUGUCUCAACCCCCAGAUGGGGUCCAAGGAAGAGAUGGAGAGAUGUGAUAAGAAGAGAUCUCAAGGACAUUCUCCAAUGGCAGCCAAGAAUAUGGUGUGUGAGGUGUGCUCCAGGAAUUUCAUGAUAAGGCAAGGCACAAGUGUGUGGAUGAGAGACAGAAGCCUGUAGUGACCAGCAAGGUGCAGUCUACUAGUAGAGUCAGCAGUGUCUCUUAUGGUUCCGGAGUAGAGGAGGGCUACAGUUCACAGAUGCUUACCAGAAACGUCACACCGUUUCUCAUCAUUGGACUUGUUGCCCCUUUGGGCAAGCGUGACCUUGCAAGGGUAGCUUUAAAACACAGGACAGGACAUGUGUGCAUUUGUAUGUUUGUUGUUUUUGUAUGUGUACAUGUGACACUGUGUUUGCUUGUGGUCGGCCACCUUUGUGGUAUACUCCUAAGCCUGUUUUGCAUAUGGCUAAGAGCUGAGCUACCAUUUCCAUUAUCUGUGGUUCCAAUGACCAGGUUGUAAUUUUGAGGUUUCUUUUAGUCUUGCAAGCCGAAGUGGCAGUAUUUUGAACAAGAGAGAAUGUAAGGA